UACGAAGGGGGCUAGCGUUGCUCGGAAUCACUGGGCGUAAAGCGCACGUAGGCGGAUUGUUAAGUCAGGGGUGAAAUCCUGGAGCUCAACUCCAGAACUGCCUUUGAUACUGGCGAUCUUGAGUCCGGGAGAGGUGAGUGGAACUGCGAGUGUAGAGGUGAAAUUCGUAGAUAUUCGCAAGAACACCAGUGGCGAAGGCGGCUCACUGGCCCGGUACUGACGCUGAGGUGCGAAAGCGUGGGAGCAACAG
rnacentral:rRNA from 1 species